rnacentral:lncRNA from 1 species
GGUGUGAUGUAUGUGAUGGUACCAUCUUGUUAUCAUCAUCAAUGGGAAGUUUGCAAUCUGAUUAUAAGCAUGAAUGUUUGUUUGUCUAUUCUCAGUAAACGUUUUUGGCAGAAUUUGCUAGUAAAGGUGCCACUGAAUCUGAUAAACAUGACGUUCAUAUGCUCCAGUUCAGUUCAAUCUGCCCAUGCUCACCGGGUAUAAUUAGAGUCUUGUUUCCUAAUGCCUUUGCUCUCUGAAUUC